UUUUUUUUUUAAAUCCAAAAUUAGAUCUAGAGUAAAGAGUCUACUCAGCGACUCAGCUACUGUCUACACUUCUCUCAUCCUUUUUCAACUAUUUCAACCUAAUUUAAAAUACAAUGGCCAUUUUCUUUAUCAGAUCUUUAUAGUAGUAUAGACUUCUGAUUCGUUGCUUGCAGUGGCACUGGAUGAUCCACAUGGAGAGAGAGCAUAUAUUUAAUUAUAAUAUUUUUUAUAAGUGGCUCAAGGGUGAAAAUGCAACGGCGACUGGUGAUUACAUAUGAUAUGCCCAACCUGUGACGGCAGCUGUGUAUCAAGGAUUGGCCUCUUUUGUCACACAAGAAGUUGCAAAGGGAAAAGAUCGUCUCUCGAGUCGUAAAAUAUCACAGAGUUGAAUGGACUCUAUGGAGUCAUUUUUGUCUUUUCCCGAUAUGACGGACUUAUCAACUUUUUUUUUAGUACAGUCAGUGAGUCACAGUCUACAGUAUUCUACACUCAACAGUACCUUGCCUUUAGCCUUACCAUAUGGUUGUUUUAGUGCAGUGGCAGUAGUACUUGCCAGUACCGUAGGCCUAAUUUUUCUACGUUACCAUUUGAAAACUUUCUUGGCAGGUUAAAACGAUAAAUUAGAAAACCAAGUUUCCCACUUUCUUAUAAUAGUUAAUUUCUAGAUUGUUGGAAAUAUAGCAUGCAUUAUAUGCCUUAUUGUCUUACAUUUGAAACACUUAGUUUACAUCAGAAAUUUAGUCUUAAAAAGGAACAUUCUAAUGGCCCAUUAGUUGCUGGAGAUAUAUGUAGAUCUUGUUCUCAGUUUAAGCAGGAAACUAUUAAUAUUUGUAUUGGCAUUGGUUUAGAUUACUUUUGUGUACAGAUAGAAAAGUUGUAAUAAAUUGAUAUAUGUAAUUUAUCAAAUGUUUUGAUAUUGAAGUUUUUUUUAUAUCCUAAAGAUUAUAAUUAUAUCUUAUAUCCAUUAGAGGUGCGGUGGCUGAGCAGUAAAGUGCUUGGCUUCUGAACUGAGGAUCCUUGGUUUGAAUCCUGGUGAAGACUGGGAUUUCUAAUUUCGGGAUCUUUAGGGUGCUUCUGGAUCCACCCAGCUCUAACAUGACACUGGUUGGGGGAAAGUCAAAGCAGUUGACGUUGUGCUUGUUAACGGUGGGUCGAAAAAAAGAUGACCUUUACAUCAUCUGCCCCAUAGAUUGCAAGGUCUGAAAGGGAAACUUUACUUUACAUUAGAUUCUGCUUUAUUGGAUUUUUUUGUUGCUUCUGAUCUUGACAAACAUCUUAAUAUAGCCAGUCCAGAAUCCAUUGCUUGUUAAUAUGUUAGACUAACAUAUACAAAUAAACAUGUGUUUUUUCCAUUAAGGCACACUUUGUGUGAAUCAGCAUCAUGUUCUUGAUCUAGUAGGCCUUAGAUUUAUAAUAGUUUUAGUGUCAUUAAAGAAAUAAGUUCAUACUUGCUUAAUAAAAGUAAAUGUUCAGGAUUGAAAACACAUACAAUAUGCAACAAAAGGAAAAUUUAAUGCACACAAAAUUGAAGUUUUUGAACAGUCAAAAUAUAACUUAAAUAAUUGCUUUCUUAAAUGCUAUACAUUCUAGACAUAAAAAAUGUUUAUUGCACAUGUGCAAAGGUAUUUCAACUAAUUUAUUUGUAAGCUGAAUUUUUUGUUAUAUGGUUAAAUAAAAAUAAGUUAAAAUAAAAUAUUUCUUAAGAUGUAUGUAGAACACUAAUAUUUUAUUGUAGAAAUAAAUUAGGCUAGGAGCAGCAAAUAUGCAUAUUUAUUAAACACUAAUUUAAAUAUUAUUUAGAAUGUUGGCUGUGGCUAUUUUUAAGGAAGUAGAGGCUGUGCCUAUAUUACCUGGCUGUCACCAUUCCAGACCAUUGUGUCAAGGCUACCUUUUAAAGCGCCGAAAGUAUCAAAAUGUGUUAAAGAGCAGCAGCCUGCUGAUAAAGCAUGGCCAACCUAUCACGUUAGGAUCCUGAGAUGCUAUGGCAAUUAUUUAAACAUGUUUCAACUAAGUAACACAUUUAAUUUAUAUCAAUAAUAGUAAAUCUAUAGUUUUGAAUGACUAAAUAUUUUAGCAUUGCCUUUUUUUAAAUCUUGAAAGUGAAUUUUGCAGAAAACUAUGAGGAUGCCAAGAAAAGAUCCAUUCUGACAAAAGAAACAUCUGAUUUGAAUGACAUCUCUCUUCUACAUUAAGUAAGAAGGGCAGACUAAAAAGGACCUUUUUAAGUUCUGAGGAAGAAACUCUGCUGUUAAAAAAGGCUGAGAAAGCCACAGCAUCUUUGCCCCUCAAGGUUUCUAAGGACUUAAGACUUCUGGGCAAAGCCUGUCAAACAAGAAUUGAAAAUGGAAAGAUUGUUAUAAUCAUUUAAUGAAUAUGUUAUAAUCAUUUAAUGAAUAGAUGUUUUAGUUGAGAUGAUAAAACAUCAUUGCUUAUUUUAAAACUAUAUUUUCUUCUUCAGAAUCUACAAUCACUAUUUUGAAAACCCUGGUGAAAGUUAUAAAGCACCAGGUGAUGUCACUUUCUGGAUUACGUGACACCAUCCAGCAACUUAGGGAUGAAAUAGCACAGUGGGCGCAUGUGAUAACCUCACUGCAACCUCCACUAGUGGAAGAAAAUGUUGCAGUGAGCCUGCCUCUUUCUAGCUUGAAAGAAUUUGAUAGCCAUGAGGAGAAGUUAUCUUAUAAUAAUGUACAGAAAGUUUAUGAUUGGCGAAUAGUCUCAUUUUGGCGGACUUUACAUAAAACUCAUGGUAAAUAAACUAUUGGACAAGGUUAUGACCACAACACUCCAAUGUGAAUUCAAUUGGGCAAGAAAACCAGGCUGGACAGAGAAUGGAAUGGCAAGGAGACAGAGAAUGAAAUGGCAAGGAGAGGGUUUCAAAAGUGUCAACUGUUAUGCAUUAUAAUUACAGGUCAGUGUAAUCUACUAUAUCCCUAUAUUUUGUCAGCUUAUUAGUAAAAGUAAUGAAAGCAUUUCAAUGCAGUACUUAAACAUGUUGUAAAGAAUUGUUUUGUACAUUUCAAGCAGAAGUAUUAUUUUAGUUUGUAAUUUAGACACUUUAUUUGUAAAUAUCUAAUUAGUGGUAGAAAUAAAAAUGUCAUAUUCUUACAUCAAAUAGCUGAUGCCAUUGUUUCUUUUCUGGGUAGGAAGCUUGCUAAAUAUUUUAAUGACUUCCGUAAUUCAAUCAUAACAUUUUGAAGCUAGCUCGAAUGAAGAAAAUAUUUUCAUGCAUAAAAGUAUAUCUAAGGAACGCACAUGACAGGCAAGGUGGUAGACAUAGAAGAAUGGAGACAGGUAUGGCAAUUUUUAAAUUCAUUUUUAUAUAAGCGUGGUCGAGAAGCCAAGUACACUUGAAAUUGGCUUGGCUACCUAGAAGGGGGCUCGAGGUUCGACAGCCGACUCAGGCAGAGUUGUGUUUACUGAGCGCCCAAAGGCAGCACGGAAAACCAACUCCUAGAUACUCCCUCCCCCCACUGGUCCACAAAUGAGAUUGGACUGCAGCGCUCUGAGCAUGCUAUAAGCAUGAAAGUAGCGCUAUAUAAAAGCUAUAAUAAUAAUAAAUUAUGCCAACAAAAUUUUUUUUUUACUACUUUGCAGUAUGAGAUUUAUUGAUGCUUUAGCUUUAAAUUUACUUGUAAAUUCCUUUUUAUGAGUAUAUGUAUAUGCAAAAAAAAUAUUUUCUUUAUCUUCCUUUUUUAAUUUUUUUUUUCAGCAGCUUUUGGAGAGAUGAUUCAAGUGUGAAAAUAUGUAAAAGACUAGUACUAUAUUACAAACAAAU